GAUGAACGCUGGCGGCGUGCCUAAUACAUGCAAGUCGAGCGAAUGGAUUAAGAGCUUGCUCUUAUGAAGUUAGCGGCGGACGGGUGAGUAACACGUGGGUAACCUGCCCAUAAGACUGGGAUAACUCCGGGAAACCGGGGCUAAUACCGGAUAACAUUUUGAACCGCAUGGUUCGAAAUUGAAAGGCGGCUUCGGCUGUCACUUAUGGAUGGACCCGCGUCGCAUUAGCUAGUUGGUGAGGUAACGGCGCACCAAGGCAACGAUGCGUAGCCGACCUGAGAGGGUGGUCGGCCACACUGGGACUGAGACACGGCCCAGACUCCUACGGGAGGCAGCAGUAGGGAAUCUUCCGCAAUGGACGAAAGUCUGACGGAGCAACGCCGCGUGAGUGAUGAAGGCUUUCGGGUCGUAAAACUCUGUUGUUAGGGAAGAACAAGUGCUAGUUGAAUAAGCUGACACCUUGACGGUACCUAACCAGAAAGCCACGGCUAACUACGUGCCAGCAGCCGCGGUAA
rnacentral:rRNA from 1 species